rnacentral:rRNA from 1 species
CCUACGGGUGGCUGCAGUGAGGAAUAUUGGUCAAUGGGCGCGAGCCUGACCCAGCCAAGUAGCGUGAAGGAUGACUGCCCUACGGGUUGUAAACUUCUUUUAUAAAGGAAUAAAGUGAGGCACGUGUGCCUUUUUGUGUGUACUUUAUGAAUAAGGAUCGGCUAACUCCGUGCCAGCAGCCGCGGUAAUACGGAGGAUCCGAGCGUUAUCCGGAUUUAUUGGGGUUAAAGGGAGCGUAGAUGGGUUGUUAAGUCAGUUGUGAAAGUUUGCGGCUCAACCGUAAAAUUGCAACUGAUACUGGCAGCCUUGAGUGCAGUUGAGGUAGGCGGAAUUCGUGGUGUAGCGGUGAAAUGCUUAGAUAUCACGAAGAACUCCGAGUGCGAAGGCAGCUUACUAAACUGCCACUGACAUUGAUGCUCGAAAGUGUGGGUAUCAAACAGGAUUAGAUACCCCGGUAGUC